UGCACCACUCCUACGGGAGGCAGCAGUCGAGAAUCUUCGGCAAUGGGCGCAAGCCUGACCGAGCGACGCCGCGUGCGGGAUGAAGGCCCUUGGGUUGUAAACCGCUGUCAGAGGGGAUGAAAUGCGGGUGGGUACUCCCAUCCGUUUGACAUAGCCUCAGAGGAAGCACGGGCUAAGUUCGUGCCAGCAGCCGCGGUAAUACGAACUGUGCAAACGUUAUUCGGAAUCACCGGGCUUAAAGGGUGCGUAGGCGGCCAUUUAAGUAGGGUGUGAAAGCCCCCGGCUCAACCGGGGAAUUGCGUCCUAAACUGGAUGGCUGGAGUGAGAUAGAGGUGUGUGGAACUUCCGGUGGAGCGGUGAAAUGUGUUGAUAUCGGAAGGAACGCCGGUGGCGAAAGCGACACACUGGGUCUCAACUGACGCUGAGGCACGAAAGCCAA
rnacentral:rRNA from 1 species